AACAAGCCACAGGCAGCAACAGCUGAUCCGUGAGCUCGAGUUUGCCAAGCUGAAUUUGAAAUACUUACUUAUUUGAGACAGGGUCUCUCUACGUUGCCCAGACUGGUCUUGAACUCCUGAGGUUCCCAGAGCAUCAUUGUCCUGGGGUGCAGGAGGACACGAGUGAGCACACGCCUAUGGAGGUCAGAGGGGCCUCUCCUCAGCCACUUUCCACGUUAUAUGUGGAGGGAUCAGCUACCUGCUGGAUUCAGUUGUGUGCCCGUGCCGGAAGUUCUGCCCUUCCCGGUGGCCUUUGAAGAGGAAGCGAGCUCUACCACUUUGCCACCACCGCCUCAACUCCUUCCGAAAGAUUGCAAGCUCCUCAGCUAGCUUUCCUCAGGACGUCCCCUUAGACAACGUUUCUUGGGGCGGCUGUAGAUGGUGCUGGCGUAUAUUCCUGGGGAAGAUGUCAUCACCUGAGAGGGCUGGAUACAGAUCGGGAUUGGUGGAGGAGACCUGAAAAUAAAAGGAGGCGUGACUGUCUGGAAAAGAACUGCUCUUUCAU